GGCAGGCAGGAGUCUCCUCUGGCAGACUUGAACUCUGGGACAACAGCGGAUUCUAAACAAAAGCAAAAGAGAGUGGGCUUCUUGGGGCGUUGGCGUGAGGGAACACACGGCGAAUCUUUGGAGCUUACAGUUUAUAUUCUGAGGGCCCCAUGGAGGAAAAAGCAUUUAUUUCAUCAGCCACACUGAGUUCUACUGCACAAAUGUCUUUUAUUUAAUUGUAUGAAACCCCGAAGGUUGAAAACAAUAUUUUAAUUAAAAUUUUAAGA